rnacentral:rRNA from 1 species
ACGGUAGCUAAUACCGCAUAAUGUCUACGACCAAAGGGCUUCGCUCUCGCGCAAAGAUGAACCCAAGCGAGAUUAGCUAGUUGGUGGGNNAAAGGCUCACCAAGGCGACGAUCUCUAGCUGUUCUGAGAGGAAGAUCAGCCACACUGGGACUGAGACACGGCCCAGACUCCUACGGGAGGCAGCAGUGGGGNAUAUUGCACAAUGGGGGNAACCCUGAUGCAGCCAUGCCGCGUGUGUGAAGAAGGCCCUAGGGUUGUAAAGCACUUUCAGUUGUGAGGAAAGGUUAACGGUUAAUACCCGUUAGCUGUGACGUUAGCAACAGAAGAAG